rnacentral:rRNA from 1 species
AGUGAACGCUGGCGGUAGGCCUAACACAUGCAAGUCGAACGGCAGCACAGUAAGAGCUUGCUCUUACGGGUGGCGAGUGGCGGACGGGUGAGGAAUACAUCGGAAUCUACUUUUUCGUGGGGGAUAACGUAGAGAAACUUACGCUAAUACCGCAUACGACCUACGGGUGAAAGCAGGGGAUCUUCGGACCUUGCGCGAUUGAAUGAGCCGAUGUCGGAUUAGCUAGUUGGCGGGGUAAAGGCCCACCAAGGCGACGAUCCGUAGCUGGUCUGAGAGGAUGAUCAGCCACACUGGAACUGAGACACGGGCCAGACUCCUACGGGAGGCAGCAGUGGGGAAUAUUGGACAAUGGGCGCAAGCCUGAUCCAGCCAUACCGCGUGGGUGAAGAAGGCCUUCGGGUUGUAAAGCCCUUUUGUUGGGAAAGAAAAGCAGCAGGUUAAUACCCCGCUGUUCUGACGGUACCCAAAGAAUAAGCGCCGGCUAACUUCGUG